rnacentral:rRNA from 1 species
UACGUAGGGUGCAAGCGUUGUCCGGAAUUAUUGGGCGUAAAGAGCUCGUAGGCGGUCUGUCGCGUCGGAUGUGAAAACCCGGGGCUUAACCCCGGGCCUGCAUUCGAUACGGGCAGACUCGAGUGUGGUAGGGGAGACUGGAACUCCUGGUGUAGCGGUGAAAUGCGCAGAUAUCAGGAGGAACACCGAUGGCGAAGGCAGGUCUCUGGGCCACUACUGACGCUGAGAAGCGAAAGCGUGGGGAGCGAACAGG